GACGAACCGUGCGAACGUUAUUCGGAAUCACUGGGCUUAAAGGGCGCGUAGGCGGGCAUUCAAGUCAGGGGUGAAAGCCCACGGCUCAACCGUGGAAGUGCCUCUGAUACUGGGUGCCUCGAGGGGUGCAGGGGCGUGCGGAACUUAGGGUGGAGCGGUGAAAUGCGUAGAUAUCCUAAGGAACACCGGUGGCGAAGGCGGCACGCUGGACACCUUCUGACGCUGAGGCGCGAAAGCCAGGGGAGCAAACGGG
rnacentral:rRNA from 1 species